AUGAACGCUAGCUACAGGCUUAACACAUGCAAGUCGAGGGGCAGCAUCAUCAAAGCUUGCUUUGAUGGAUGGCGACCGGCGCACGGGUGAGUAACACGUAUCCAACCUGCCGACAACACUGGGAUAGCCUUUCGAAAGAAAGAUUAAUACCGGAUGGCAUAGUUUUCCCGCAUGGGAUAAUUAUUAAAGAAUUUCGGUUGUCGAUGGGGAUGCGUUCCAUUAGGCAGUUGGCGGGGUAACGGCCCACCAAACCAACGAUGGAUAGGGGUUCUGAGAGGAAGGUCCCCCACAUUGGAACUGAGACACGGUCCAAACUCCUACGGGAGGCAGCAGUGAGGAAUAUUGGUCAAUGGACGAGAGUCUGAACCAGCCAAGUAGCGUGUAGGAUGACUGCCCUAUGGGUUGUAAACUUCUUUUAUACGGGAAUAAAGUGAGCCACGUGUGGCUUUUUGUAUGUACCGUAUGAAUAAGGAUCGGCUAACUCCGUGCCAGCAGCCGCGGUAAUACGGAGGAUCCGAGCGUUAUCCGGAUUUAUUGGGUUUAAAGGGAGCGUAGGCGGGUUGUUAAGUCAGUUGUGAAAGUUUGCGGCUCAACCGUAAAAUUGCAGUUGAUACUGGCGACCUUGAGUGCAACAGAGGUAGGCGGAAUUCGUGGUGUAGCGGUGAAAUGCUUAGAUAUCACGAAGAACUCCGAUUGCGAAGGCAGCUUACUGGAUUGUAACUGACGCUGAUGCUCGAAAGUGUGGGUAUCAAACAGGAUUAGAUACCCUGGUAGUCCACACAGUAAACGAUGAAUACUCGCUGUUGGCGAUAUACGGUCAGCGGCCAAGCGAAAGCAUUAAGUAUUCCACCUGGGGAGUACGCCGGCAACGGUGAAACUCAAAGGAAUUGACGGGGGCCCGCACAAGCGGAGGAACAUGUGGUUUAAUUCGAUGAUACGCGAGGAACCUUACCCGGGCUUAAAUUGCAACUGACGGAACCGGAAACGGUUCUUUCUUCGGACAGUUGUGAAGGUGCUGCAUGGUUGUCGUCAGCUCGUGCCGUGAGGUGUCGGCUUAAGUGCCAUAACGAGCGCAACCCUUACGGGUAGUUACCAUCAGGUUAUGCUGGGGACUCUACCCGGACUGCCGUCGUAAGAUGUGAGGAAGGUGGGGAUGACGUCAAAUCAGCACGGCCCUUACGUCCGGGGCUACACACGUGUUACAAUGGGGGGUACAGAAGGCAGCUACACGGCGACGUGGUGCUAAUCCCAAAAGCCUCUCUCAGUUCGGAUUGGAGUCUGCAACCCGACUCCAUGAAGCUGGAUUCGCUAGUAAUCGCGCAUCAGCCACGGCGCGGUGAAUACGUUCCCGGGCCUUGUACACACCGCCCGUCAAGCCAUGAAAGCCGGGGGUACCUGAAGUACGUAACCGCGAGGAGCGUCCUAGGGUAAAACUGGUGAUUGGGGCUAA
rnacentral:rRNA from 1 species